rnacentral:tRNA from 1 species
GUGGGCGUGGCGGAACAGGUCUACGCGCUGGUCUCAAAAACCAGUGCCCUUCGGGGCUUGUGGGUUCGAGUCCCACCGCCCACACCA